CACAAAUUAUUUUUUGACGGUGAAAACUUUUCCAAAAUGAAAUUCAACAACAUUGCAAUUAUUGCUGCUACCUUACUUUUGGCCAUUGCCUCAGCUAAAGCCGAUCCUGAACCCAAACCCGAAGCAAAACCCUUUUAUCCCAUCUUCAUGGGCAAAUAAGGUUUUUGGCGGAUUUUGAAAAGUUAUGAGACAAAAGUAAAUGAAUAAAAAUUGCACAAAAAAAUGAUGAAUAAUAAAA